rnacentral:lncRNA from 1 species
GGCAAACAUUGCAGAAAAGGCUCCUGAUGAUGGCCGCGUGUGCAUGGCUGAACCAUUCAAGUUCUGUGUUUUUCAGACGUCAACAAACACAGACAAAGUGGUUGCAGAUGACUUCACCAAGACUGUGCUGGUGGGAAAUAGAUCCUUCUACUGUGGAUGCACAGACUUGCCUGACAGCACUUGGUAAAAUAACAACUAUCUUGUAAGAACAUGAAUGCAAAAGAAAUAAAAGGUCUGGUCACUCUGAUGUUUCAUCUGCAGGUUUGGUAAACCUGUAGAAGAGGAAGAGAUUCUGUCGCUCUUUCCUGACGAUAUGAUAAAGGCACUCCAUGAGAACCUGACCACAGGGAAAGUGCGUUCCAACAGGAUGUACCUGCAGAACCCAAUGUCCUCAUUACCACUGAAACAGCACUUGAAGCCGAGGACGCUAAACUUAAGUGACCACCGGGUAUAUUCAAAUCUCAUCAGUCGUGUGUGUGUUCAUACAUUAUUUGUUCUGAUAUUUCCCGAUCUCGUCAGAUCUUUCAGCUGCUGAGGGCCAUUGAAGAUGCCACAGGAGUCAGGUCCUUCAUCCAGAAAGAGGAGGUCCAGAUCCUGGAUCACGU